rnacentral:rRNA from 1 species
AUGUUAACGUUCCGAGAUGGCAAAUAUUCGGAGAUGACUAUGAAAACACCUCUCUGGAUCCUCGAAUUGAAAGAGAGAUUGAGAGGGAUCAAGAAUCCUAAUUCUCAACUAUCUUUCUAA